CCUACGGGAGGCAGCAGUGGGGACUAUUGGGCAAUGGAGGAAACUCUGACCCAGCAACGCCGCGUGAAUGAUGAAGGUCUUCGGAUUGUAAAGUUCUUUUCUAAGGGAAGAAGAAAGUGACGGUACCUUAGGAAUAAGCCUCGGCUAACUACGUGCCAGCAGCCGCGGUAAUACGUAGGAGGCAAGCGUUAUCCGGCAUGUCUGGGCGUAAAGGGUGCGUAGGUGGUUUGACAAGUUGGUAGCGUAACUCCGAGGCUUAACCUCGGCACUACUACCAAAACUGUUGGACUCGAGUGCAGGAGGGGCAAAUGGAAUUCCUAGUGUAGCGGUUGAAUGCGUAGAUAUUAGGAGGAACACCAGUGGCGAAGGCGAUUUGCUGGACUGUAACUGACACUGAGGCACGAAAGCGUGGGGAGCAAACAGGAUUAGAUACCCCAGUAGUC
rnacentral:rRNA from 1 species